AACGAACGCUGGCGGCAGGCUUAACACAUGCAAGUCGAGCGCGUGUAGCAAUACACGAGCGGCGCACGGGUGAGUAACGCGUGGAUAUCUGCCUUUUGGUUCGGAAUAACCCCGGGAAACUGGGGCUAAUACCGGAUGGUUCCUACGGGAUAAAGAUUUAUCGCCAAAAGAUGAGUCCGCGUCCGAUUAGCUAGUUGGUGAGGUAACGGCUCACCAAGGCGACGAUCGGUAGCUGGUCUGAGAGGACGAUCAGCCACACUGGGACUGAGACACGGCCCAGACUCCUACGGGAGGCAGCAGUGGGGAAUAUUGGACAAUGGGGGCAACCCUGAUCCAGCCAUGCCGCGUGAGUGAUGAAGGCCUUCGGGUUGUAAGGCUCUUUUGGCGGGGACGAUGAUGACAGUACCCGCAGAAUAAGCCCCGGCUAACUUCGUGCCAGCAGCCGCCGUAA
rnacentral:rRNA from 1 species